AACCAACAGUAGCAACUCAUAGUAAUGAGUACCUUUUUUUUUUUUUGUACAGGGGAUAGAACCUAGAGGCGCUUAAUCAUUGAGCUACAUCUCCAGCCCUUUUUACUUUUUAUUUUUUUGAGACAGAGUCUCACUAAGUUGCUUAGGGCUCUGCUAAAUUGAUGAAGCUGGCUUUGAACUCACUUUCCUCCUCCCUUAGCCUCCCAAGUCGAUGGGAUUACAGGUAUACACCAGCAGUACUUGUUAUGUGAGAAAACCUAAUGCUUUAUUUGUGAAGCUGCUGCUCUGGUAAGGUUUUCUAUUACCUGAACAUAUCCUUAACCAGCAUUAUAUAAUUUAAAGAGACAAUAGUAUAAUGUAGAUGGAAACAAAGGGCUGGAUAACUUAUGGACAAAAUAAAUGAAAGAACUAGCUUUCAAGCACAGGACAAAAAGCAGGUUUGCGAAGUGUUCUAAAAAAAAAAAGGGACAAAGAGAUAAAAGGAGAAAUCAGAAAAGCAGUGUCACAGAAUACCCAGGUUUCAAGAAGGAUAUGAUCAAUAAUAGCAUCAGAUGCUACUGAAUUUAAGACAAAAACUUAAAAGCCCAAUGACUAAUGGAAGUCAGAUUGUGGUGUGUUAGGAGCAAAUGGAAUAGGGGAGUAAAUGGAAGUUGUGAGUGCAGAGAACUCUUUUAAGAAGGGGAAAGGAGGAAUGUGAACUUUUUCAUAUUAUUAGAAUAAUAACUCCAAGUAGGAAUUUUAAAAAAAAU
rnacentral:lncRNA from 1 species